GAUGAACGCUGGCGGCGUGCCUAAUACAUGCAAGUCGAGCGAACAGAUAAGGAGCUUGCUCCUUUGACGUUAGCGGCGGACGGGUGAGUAACACGUGGGUAACCUACCUAUAAGACUGGGAUAACUUCGGGAAACCGGAGCUAAUACCGGAUAACAUUUGGAACCGCAUGGUUCUAAAGUGAAAGAUGGUUUUGCUAUCACUUAUAGAUGGACCCGCGCCGUAUUAGCUAGUUGGUAAGGUAACGGCUUACCAAGGCGACGAUACGUAGCCGACCUGAGAGGGUGAUCGGCCACACUGGAACUGAGACACGGUCCAGACUCCUACGGGAGGCAGCAGUAGGGAAUCUUCCGCAAUGGGCGAAAGCCUGACGGAGCAACGCCGCGUGAGUGAUGAAGGGGUUCGGCUCGUAAAACUCUGUUAUUAGGGAAGAACAAACGUGUAAGUAACUGUGCACGUCUUGACGGUACCUAAUCAGAAAGCCACGGCUAACUACGUG
rnacentral:rRNA from 1 species